UACGUAGGGGGCAAGCGUUGUCCGGAUUUAUUGGGCGUAAAGAGCGUGUAGGCGGCUUUACAGGUCCGUUGUGAAAACUCGAGGCUCAACCUCGAGACGCCGGUGGAAACCGUAAGGCUAGAGUCCGGAAGAGGAGAGUGGAAUUCCUGGUGUAGCGGUGAAAUGCGCAGAUAUCAGGAAGAACACCCGUGGCUAAGGCGGCUCUCUAGUACGGUACUGACGCUGAGACGCGAAAGCGUGGGGAGCGAACAGG
rnacentral:rRNA from 1 species